UGCAGAUUAAAAAUACUUGUGUUGGCAGUGGGCAGAGCCAACUAAGGCAGAAGUACAGCUUUUGCUGCUGAUCUAGAGGGAUGAGGCAUUUUGCCCUGCUGAGCCUACCUUGCCCAGGUAGCAGUACACAAAUAGAGGAGGCGAUGCUAUACUGCUCUCUUCAGUCAGAUACUUUCCCAGGCCCACAGGGUUUUUGUGGAGUUUGUUCUCCUCCACAGAGCUGGAUCAAUAGCUCUGAAGUCUCCAGCCCUCUCUUUGUAGCGCUGCUACAGUAACUUUCCCCUUUAACUUGUGCGUGUUGGUAGGCCACAAGGUAGUGAAACACAGCCUCAGUCACUUCUGCCGAGAUGAGUGGGGAGUGUUAGAGGUCAUGGAUAGAGUCACCUCUCUGUUGAGAACUGCCCUGACGUCUCUCUGGGUGAUAAGCAACAAACUGAUUGCAAGAAAUUCCAGGCUUGUGGACAUGGGAUAAACGUGAAUGACAGCCUGAUGUAAAUGCAAACGCUGUAAUACAGCAUUCUUUAUUUUGAAAACUGCCUGGCCAUGAAGAUUUUAGUAUUUUAAUUUUGAUUAUCUUUAUUUAUAGAUACUAAGGAAUUCAGUUGCUUGGAGACCUGCAUCUCGUUAUCUGUGCUGAAAGGCCAGGUGCAAUAGACCCUGACCUCCUUCACUUUCAGCACAGAGGUUUCCGUCUUCUUCCAGCUGCUGUCUUUACUAUCGGGUCACAAACACCUGUUACAAUAGUUUCGUCCAGUAACAAAUCUAAAGUAGCAAGUGCACGUGGGAAGAAAAUGAGAAAGACAGGCUUUGUCUUCCUCCGAUUUGUUGGCUGCUCACCCAUCCCUUAAAAAAAGUCUUGAAUUCCUUUCUGGGGGCAUGUCGAUGUAUGUCAACGGGGGAGCAGAGAAGUCAAAGGCAUCGCUGUAGCAAGCAAGUUCUAAACCUCAAUCAUGUCAUUGAUCCACCCUCAAAUGCCCUUUCCUGCGAGUUCCUCGUGGCAAGAUGCAAGCGUGCAGCCUUGGUAGAUGAAAACGCGUGCAUCUGGAAUGCCUUACUGCUGAGAAUAAGGAGCUAUUUGUAUCCUGUCGAAUGUACAAUCCUGAACCAUCUAAGCUGCUUGUUUAAGGUAUGAUCUAGGGAAAGAAUUUGGCUGGG
ensembl:lncRNA